GGAGAGAUGUCUGAGUGGCCGAAAGAGCUCGCCUCGAAAGCGAGUAGCUCUGCAAGGGGCUCGUGGGUUCGAAUCCCACUCUCUCCGCCA
rnacentral:tRNA from 1 species